rnacentral:rRNA from 1 species
GCAAGUCGAACGAUAGCAGGAUGUGCUUGCACAUCGCUUACGAGUGGCGGACGGGUGAGUAAUGCUUAGUGAUCUGCCUCUGUGUGUGGGAUAACUAUUCGAAACGAUAGCUAAUACACGCAUAAUGUUUACGGACCAAAGGGGGCUUUUAGCUCCCGCGCAGAGAGGAACCUAAGUGAGAUUAGCUAGUUGGUGGGGUAAAGGCUCACCAAGGCGACGAUCUCUAGCUGGUCUGAGAGGAAGAUC